CCGAAGUAGCUCAGUUGGUUAGAGCAUCAGAUUACGGAUCUGACGGUCGCGGGUUCGACUCCCGUCACGCAUCA
rnacentral:tRNA from 1 species